GACCCUGUAGUUCAACUGGAUAGAAUAUCAGAUUUCGGCUCUGAGGGUUGGGGGUUCGAACCCCUCCAGGGUCA
rnacentral:tRNA from 9 species